UACAGGGGGUGCAAACGUUGCUCGGAAUCAUUGGGCGUAAAGCGCACGUAGGCGGUUUGUUAAGUCGGGUGUGAAAGCCCAGGGCUCAACCCUGGAAGUGCACUCGAAACUGGCAGGCUUGAAUAUGGAAGAGGGUCGCGGAAUUCCCGGUGUAGAGGUGAAAUUCGUAGAUAUCGGGAGGAACACCAGUGGCGAAGGCGGCGACCUGGGCCAAUAUUGACGCUGAGGUGCGAAAGCGUGGGGAGCAAACAGG
rnacentral:rRNA from 1 species